rnacentral:pre_miRNA from 7 species
AUUUAAUUGGGAGUGAAAGACCUCCGAAGGGAGACCCUCACUCAAGUCUUGGGAUAAUAGCAGACCCCAAAGAACUCACAAGAGG